rnacentral:misc_RNA from 1 species
GUUUGAAUCCCUACGGCCAGAUCUGAAAAAAAAAUAAUGAAGUAAAAAAGGGAUUGUUUGUAUACCGAAGCUAGAGAGAGAUCGAUGUUUUGGAGCUUUGGCUCACUGGUGAUGAUCUGAUUCGGGAUGCUCGACGUUCUGAUUUUAAAGGAAUUAGAGUUGGGGUUUGAUUUGACUUGCGAGCUCGCCGAGAUCUGAAACUUGGUGAAGCUGUUCGGACUCUCUAGUUGUAAUAAUUGAGUUGCCGACUUCUAACUCGUCAGGUUCAUCCCCAUUUUGGAGUUGAUGGUGUUACUCACGACUAGAGCUUUUGUGGGGGUUCUUUGGCUAUUGUUGUUGGUUGAUUUAAGUUGGAUUUUGGGUCUGGUCGGAGAUGACCAAUAGAAGAGGGAACAAUAAUAGUCGGCUUCUGAGUUCUGAUCUCAAUCAUAAAGUGUUG